rnacentral:rRNA from 1 species
UAUUAUUUAAAAUGUAAUUGUAAAUACUUAAGUAGUAAUAGUUAUGUUCUUGAAACUUAAAAAAUUUGGCGGUAUUUUAGUCUAUCCAGAGGAACCUGUUUUGUAAUCGAUAAUCCACGAUGGACCUUACUUAAGUUUGUAAUCAGUUUAUAUACCGUCGUUAUCAGAAUAUUUUAUAAGAAUAAUAAUAUUCAAUAAUUUUGAUUAAAAUUUAUAUCAGAUCAAGGUGUAGCUUAUAUUUUAGUAAUAAUGGGUUACAAUAAAUGUAUUUAUACGGAUAAAAUUAUGAAAAAAUUUUUGAAGGUGGAUUUGGUAGUAAAAUUAUAAAGAUUAAUAAUUUGAUUUUAGCUCUAAAAUAUGUACACAUCGCCCGUCGCUCUUAUUAUUAAGGUAAGAUAAGUCGUAACAUAGUAGAUGUACUGGAAAGUGUAUCUAGAAUGA